UGUUCACAUAUGAUCACUGAAAGUUAAGCAAUGUUGAACCUGGUCAGUACCUAGAUGGGUGACCACUUGGGAAUACCUGGUACUGUCAGC